AUGAACAGUGGUGAGCUGUCCAACACCGUGCCUCCAAGCUGUCAUAACAGGUAUAUACAAGGAUCUUUUCAUCAAGGACAUGUGAUGUUUGAAGAUAAUGCAGGUGUACAAUGUGUGACAAACAGUUUAACAGCAAUGUUGAUAAAUUAACUGAAAGAUGUGUGCACGUGGCAAAGUAGUGACCUUGAUAAUAUUCUUGUGAAUGGAAACGAGCUUUAUACGUCAGUAAAGAACCGCAAUCAGGUAAACCACUCAUCUUUUGGUAAGUGAUUUGCCAAAGUCUCAUGUGUUGCAUAAUGUUGAUUUUACAAUUAAUCUUGUGGCAUAGUAGGAGUACAUGAUUAUGAUUUAGAGUUGGCAGAUAUGGCAAUAAGCCUUUAUGAAGCACUGCAGAGAGUAUUACUAGGAGAUGACAGCUGUUUUUUGACAAUGAAUAAAAGUACUUGUGCCAUUAUUAAACACACCAGUGGUUUUGCAGUAUUCGACUCCCACUCACGCAGCUAUGAUGACCUUGUUCAUCCAACAGGAAAAGGUCUUGUGUGUUUCUAUCAAACUUUUGAGGAUAUGUGCAGUCAGCACAUUAAUAGGCUUGCAAGUUCAACGAAUGCCUUUGGAAAACCUUGAGGUAACUGGAAUCAGCGUAACAAUGAGAAGUGAAGAUGGCAACACUACAGCACUACACAGGUCUAGUAGACGGAAACGCAAUGCCAGGAAACCACAAGUAAUGACAGAGGUGUGUGUUGAUGGGAAUAUUCAUGUUCCCGAGAGCACUUUCAAAACACAAACUGUGUGUGGUCAUGCAUUGCCAUCCCAAAAUGAGAAUUUCUUGUGUGAAAACGAUAGGCCUAUCAAUGUUACUAGUGCUGAAAGACUUUUGACAACAAAAGGGAUUGAUCUAACUGUAGACAACAACAGUGAGUGUAUUGAUAGCACAUUGAAUGUUGUUAUAGACUGUACGGGUAGUGCAACAACAGAAACAGAAAAUAUGUGUACAGACAAAAUGAACAAAUGUGACUUGCAUGAAAAAACUGGCUACAAUGUUGAACAGAGUAAAAAUACAGAAUUUUGAUCCUCACAACCGUUUGUCCGGUACAGCCACUCAAAUUCAGCAGAAAAGCGGCCAAACAGGAAGUGAAGUCAUAUCUCAGCAAAUCUUU
ensembl:lncRNA